rnacentral:rRNA from 1 species
UAAUACGGGGGGUGCGAGCGUUGUCCGGAUUCACUGGGCGUAAAGGGCGCGUAGGCGGCUGAAUCAGUCUGAUCUUUAAGGUGUGGGCUUACCCUGCACAUGGAUUGGGGACGGUUGAGCUGGGGGCCAGUCGAGGAAAGCGGAAUGCCGGGUGUAGUGGUGAAAUGCGUAGAGAUCCGGCGGAACACCGGUGGUGAAGGCGGCUUUCUGGGCUGGAACCGACGCUGAGGCGCGAGAGCGCGGGGAGCGAACCGGAUUAGAUACCCGGGUAGUCCGCGCCGUAAACGGUGGGCACUGGGUGUGGGGGGUAUCGACCCCCUCCGCGCCGGCGCGAACGCAGUAAGUGCCCCGCCUGGGGAGUACGGCCGCAAGGCUA